rnacentral:rRNA from 1 species
GACGAACGCUGGCGGCGUGCCUAAUACAUGCAAGUCGAACGCAGUGGGGACGGGUGAGUAACACGUGGGUAACCUCCCAUAAGAAGGGGAUAACACUUGGGAAAAGGUGCUACACCGAUACUGAUGGAUGGACCAGCGGGGCAUUAGCUAGUUGGUGAGGUAACGGCACACCAAGGGCACGAAGCAUAGCCGCCCUGAGAGGGUGGUCGGCCACACGGGUACGGCGACACGGCCCAGACUCCUACGGGAGGCAGCAGUAGGGAAUCUUCGGCAAUGGACGAAAGUCUGACCUAGCAACGCCGCUUGAGUGAAGAAGGUUUUCGGAUCGUAAAACUCUGUUGUUAGAGAAGCGGUAUCUAACCAGAAAGCCACGGCUAACUACGUGCCAGCAGCCGCGGUAAUAC